AUUGAACGCUGGCGGCAGGCUUAACACAUGCAAGUCGAGCGGGGUGAUGGUGCUUGCACUAUCACUUAGCGGCGGACGGGUGAGUAAUGCAUAGGAAUCUGCCUAUUAGUGGGGGACGACAUCUCGAAAGGGAUGCUAAUACCGCAUACGUCCUACGGGAGAAAGCAGGGGAUCACUUGUGACCUUGCGCUAAUAGAUGAGCCUAAGUCGGAUUAGCUAGUUGGUGGGGUAAAGGCCUACCAAGGCGACGAUCUGUAGCGGGUCGGAGAGGAUGAUCCGCCACACUGGGACUGAGACACGGCCCAGACUCCUACGGGAGGCAGCAGUGGGGAAUAUUGGACAAUGGGGGGAACCCUGAUCCAGCCAUGCCGCGUGUGUGAAGAAGGCCUUAUGGUUGUAAAGCACUUUAGGCGAGGAGGAGGCUUACCUAGUUAAUACCUGGGAUAAGCGGACGUUACUCGCAGAAUAAGCACCGGCUAACUCUGUGCCAGCCGCCGCAGUAA
rnacentral:rRNA from 1 species